GGCGCGACAGGCGAGAGAGAAGGAGACGGAGAGAGCUCCAUCUCGCCAUGGCUCCUUGCUCCCUUUCUUCCUAUUCUUAUAGAAGGAUUUAACUCCAAUGGGUUCUUCUUCGCGUUACCUUGUUGGCUUCUGAUCAGAGAUCAUCAUCGAGGAUUUCCACCGUCGAUAGAUGCAUGCGAGGUCGCAUAGCAUUGUUUAGGCAUUGCAGCACAUCCAGGAGAACACAGAUGAGGUUGGCCCUGCAGGAUGGAGGCCUCGAGAGAAGUCCAUGAAGCCAGACCCUCGACAAGGAGUGCCUGGCAGGGGAACAGUAUAAUUGCAACUACAGCAAAAGGCAUUCCAUUGUCUGAAAUAGUUAGGAGUUUUGUCACUCUUAGUGCAUUUACCCAACAUUCUCUUAUUGUAAUAUAAUGUUUUGCCAUUAUUGAGCUUCAGACAUCUAGUACUUGACCCAAUGCUUAAACUGUAUGCAAUGAAGCAGAAGCACUCUGGACUCAUAAACCACAUGUUGUCAGAUUUUGGGCAUGAGUUCAUUAUGAGAUAAAGCAGAUCUCCACUUUGCAGCUUUUGUGCAAGCAAGAAGCACUCUGGACUCAGAAGCCACAUGUCAGAUUUUCAGCAUGAGUACAUUGUGAGACAAAGCAGAUCUCCACUUUGCAGCUUUCGUGCAAGCAAGGUUUUCUUAUGUGAACAGGGGACUGAUUGGGCAGCACACCACGGGUUCAAUCAAAGCUUUGCAGUUUUGCAAACAAAGCUUGGGGUUUGUUAAAUUCAUGUGUGAAAUUUUCCAAAAAAUACAUUCAUUGAUGCAGACUGUCACAUUCAUGAACGUAGAAGUUUCAAGCUUUAAAAGAGUUUUCACGUUUUCUUUCUCUGUUCAACCUAGUGAUGGACCACCUUUUCCCAAUUCCGAGGGCUUAUUUAGGCUUCUAAUAGCAGUCACGAUGUUGGAGUUAUACUCAACAGAGGCUUAUGGUCUUAUUUGUUGGAUUUCGACUGUAAGUACAGAGAGUAAUUGAGCAAGCAAACCUCUAGAGAGAAUUUACUUUGCAUUUUAUGAUCUCGAUUUAUAGCCUAGGCCCUGAUAAGAUUCUCAUGUCCAAGGCACCAUGUCCAUGUCCAUGGAUGGCCAGUAAUGUUGUGAUAGACAGCAGAUAAUUUCACUUGACGGGCAUUUGCUAAGUGAUCAAGGCUACAUUUGAUUUUAAAAUGUAAUUGAUACAGUGAAUAAAGAGUCGCAAGUUUCAUUUGAAUCAGAUCUCAAGUAUAUGAAUUUUGUCUUUUUUGACAUGGCCGAUGUGAAUUGGAGUUGAGGAUACAACUGCAAUGUUUGCAACAAUAAGAUUGUGUACAUUAACUCUUUCAAAAUCUUAUACUGGUAGAAGCCUCAUACAUUAAUUUGAUUGUAUUUUGUUCUCUUCAAAUGCCACUAAAGCACCUCUCCAUGAAAACAACCUUACUGAAGGAAUCCUACAGACAUCCACAUUUAAUGAAAUAAGCCUUUUAGGAUAAGAGAGGGCUGCAGGAUUGUGAUACAUUUAGGAAAACUGGUUGUAUCUUUGACACAAGGACCAUUGGUUGAUUGAUAUUGUUUGGUAUAUUAACUACUUAUCUUUCUACAUAGGUUGUCUGGAACUGUGUUUCUUGCCACCUGAAUUGCUUUGGCACACAAGAUCCGAGGCUAUCAAUGAUGCUAAUGGAAGGUCACAUCAAAAAAAUGAGGCAGAAAUUUGCAAAGACAAUGCCUUGUAAUGCUUUUUGAUGUUACUUUGCUAAUAGUGAUUUACUCAAAAGCAAAGAUGGUAAAGAGGUACUCCUCUUGAUUUCUUUUCAACCAUCAAGUGCAUUGAGUGGUGUGCAAGCUUUCAAACAGUGUUUCCUUAGAAAUGGAGAAAGGAGGCAGAACUAAGGACUUUACUGCAUUCAUACAGAUAAUUUUUUUCCUUCAGGCACGCCUUUAAUGGCAUUGCUGGUUGCUUUUACCUUACUAAUUAUUAGAUAAUGUCCUUUUGAUGUCUUUUGGGCCAUAGCAUACUAAAGCUUUUGACUGUGACUGUGACUGUAAGACUGACUUGAAAAGGAGAGCAUGAGACAGAUGCAGCAGAUAAUCUUUCAGCAUUUAGGAGAGAGAGACAGAGAGAAACAUUGUAUCUAACUCGCUGUUCCAUG